rnacentral:rRNA from 1 species
UGAGUAACACGUGGGAACAUACCUCAUAGUACGGAAUAACUGCGGGAAACUGUAGCUAAUACCGUAUAUUCCAGAAAUGGGAAAGAUUUAUCGCUAUGAGAUUGGCCCGCGCAAGAUUAGCUUGUUGGUAAGGUAAUGGCUUACCAAGGCUCCGAUCUUUAGCUGGUUUGAGAGGAUGAUCAGCCACACUGGGACUGAGACACGGCCCAGACUCCUACGGGAGGCAGCAGUAGGGAAUAUUGGACAAUGGGGGAAACCCUGAUCCAGCAAUGCAGCGUGAGUGACGAAGGCCUUAGGGUUGUAAAACUCUUUCAUCGGUGAGGAUAAUGACAGUAGCCGAAGAAGAAGGACCGGCUAAUUCCGUGCCAGCAGCCGCGGUAAUACGGAAGGUCCUAGCGUUGUUCGGAAUUACUGGGCGUAAAGCGCAUGUAGGCGGAACAAAAAGUUAGAAGUGAAAUCCCUGGGCUCAACCUAGGAAUGGCUUUUAAAACUUUUGUUCUGGAAUUCAGGAGAGGAAAAUGGAAUUUCCAGUGUAGAGGUGAAAUU